AUUGAACGCUGGCGGCAGGCUUAACACCUGCAAGUCGAGCGAGCGGCGGACGGGUGAGUAAUGUCUGGGAAACUGCCUGAUGGCGGGGGAUAACUACUGGAAACGGUAGCUAAUACCGCAUACCAUCAGAUGUGCCCAUAUGGGAUUAGCUAGUGGGUGGGGUAAUGGCUCACCUAGGCGACGAUCCCUAGCUGGUCUGAGAGGAUGACCAGCCACAAUGGGACUGAGACACGGGCCAGACUCCUACGGGAGGCAGCAGUGGGGAAGAUUGCACAAUGGGGGAAAGCCUGAUGCAGCCAUGCCGCGUGUGUGAAGAAGGCCUUCGGGUUGUAAAGCACUUUCAGCGAGGAGGCGGUACUUGCAGAAUAAGCACCGGCUAACUCCGUGCCAGCAGCCGCGGUAAUAC
rnacentral:rRNA from 1 species